rnacentral:lncRNA from 1 species
AAGAGAAACCGUAAUCCCUAAUAAGGCCUCGGGCAACCUCUUUGAAGCCCAUUAGGCAUGGCCUUCAAUCAAUAGGAAUGAAGUUUUCCAUUCUUUGCCUUCAUCCAAUCAUACCUUACUUUCAUCCCUUCCAAUAAGCUUCAUAUUAGUUAAGAUUUUCUUCUUCAAGCUCCCAUCUUCUCUUAAGCUUUAUACUAAAUAUCUAAAUCUUAUAUAAUAUAAAUAUUUUAAUCAAAAUAGAUAAAUCUCUAAAUAAAUUUCCUUAUAUCAAUUCCCUUUAAAUU